GACGACUACUUACGUAGGUGGCACCUAAGGUGACUGCCGGCUAAAAGUCGGAGGAAGGUGGGGAUGACGUCAAAUCAUCAUGCCCCUUAUGACCUGGGCUACACACGUGCUACAAUGGGCGGUACAAAGGGUCGCGAACCCGCGAGGGGGAGCCAAUCCCAAAAAGCCGCUCUCAGUUCGGAUUGCAGGCUGCAACUCGCCUGCAUGAAGCCGGAAUCGCUAGUAAUCGCGGAUCAGCAUGCCGCGGUGAAUACCGUUCCCGGGCCUU
rnacentral:rRNA from 1 species